rnacentral:rRNA from 1 species
CCCUUAGAUGUUCUGGGCCGCACGCGCGCUACACUGACGAAUGCAACGAGCUUAUAACCUUGGCCGAAAGGUCUGGGUAAUCUCCAAAUUUCGUCGUGAUGGGGAUAGAUUAUUGCAAUUAUUAAUCUUCAACGAGGAAUGCCUAGUAAGCGCAAGUCAUCAGCUUGCGUUGAUUACGUCCCUGCCCUUUGUACACACCGCCCGUCGCUCCUACCGAUUGAAUGGUUUAGUGAGAACUCGGGACUGGCACUAAGGGGCUGGCAACAGCCUAUUAGAGCCGGGAACUUGCUCAAACUUGAUCAUUUAGAGGAAGUAAAAGUCGUANCA